UGAAGAGGGAAACAACCCAGACCGCCAGCUAAGGUCCCAAAGUCAUGGUUAAGUGGGAAACGAUGUGGGAAGGCCCAGACAGCCAGGAUGUUGGCUUAGAAGCAGCCAUCAUUUAAAGAAAGCGUAAUAGCUCACUGGUCGAGUCGGCCUGCGCGGAAGAUGUAACGGGGCUAAACCAUGCACCGAAGCUGCGGCAGCGACACUCAGGUGUUGUUGGGUAGGGGAGCGUUCUGUAAGCCUGUGAAGGUGUGUCGUGAGGCAUGCUGGAGGUAUCAGAAGUGCGAAUGCUGACAUAAGUAACGAUAAAGCGGGUGAAAAGCCCGCUCGCCGGAAGACCAAGGGUUCCUGUCCAACGUUAAUCGGGGCAGGGUGAGUCGACCCCUAAGGCGAGGCCGAAAGGCGUAGUCGAUGGGAAACGGGUUAAUAUUCCCGUACUUGGUGUUACUGCGAAGGGGGGACGGAGAAGGCUAUGUUGGCCGGGCGACGGUUGUCCCGGUUUAAGCGUGUAGGUGUGUGUUCCAGGUAAAUCCGGUUCACUUUAACACUGAGGCGUGACGACGAGGCACUACGGUGCUGAAGCAACAAAUGCCCUGCUUCCAGGAAAAGCCUCUAAGCAUCAGGUAACAUCAAAUCGUACCCCAAACCGACACAGGUGGUCAGGUAGAGAAUACCAAGGCGCUUGAGAGAACUCGGGUGAAGGAACUAGGCAAAAUGGUGCCGUAACUUCGGGAGAAGGCACGCUGACACGUAGGU
rnacentral:rRNA from 1 species